rnacentral:rRNA from 1 species
UACAGAGGUCUCAAGCGUUGUUCGGAUUCAUUGGGCGUAAAGGGUGCGUAGGUGGUGAUGCAAGUCUGGUGUGAAAUCUCGGAGCUUAACUCCGAAACUGCAUUCGAUACUGCCGUGCUUGAGGACUGGAGAGGAGACUGGAAUUUACGGUGUAGCGGUGAAAUGCGUAGAUAUCGUAAGGAAGACCAGUGGCGAAGGCGGGUCUCUGGACAGUUCCUGACGCUGAGGCACGAAGGUCAGGGGAGCAAACGGG